rnacentral:lncRNA from 10 species
CUGGGGUGGAAUGAUAUGGUUUGGCUCUGUCCUCACCCACAUGUCAUCUUGAAUUCCCCCACGUGUUGUGGGAGGGACCAAGAGGGAGGUAACUGAAUCACUGGGGCAGAUCUUUCCCAUGCUGUUCUGGUGGUUGUAAGUCUCACAAGAUCUGAUGGUUAUUAUAAGGGGGAGUUUUCCUGCACAAGCUCUCUCUUUGCCUGCCAUCUAUAUAAGAUGUGACUUGCUCCUCCUUGCCUCCUGCCAUGAUUGUGAGGCUUCCCCAGCCGCGUGGAACUCUUUCAUACAGAGAUGACCAGAGAAUGGAGAUGGCAGGAGGCAGUGCAAAGCAGUGCAAGAAGACCAGGCUCUAGGGGCCGGUUGGAGAGUCUGAAUCUUAACUCUGGCACCUACCUGUCAGUUGAGCAGCCUGAGGGAGAUGAUCUGUCAACAUUUAACGCUACACACAGACAAAUCUUCACCUGCAAUUUCAUUCUCAAAUGACUUCAUACUAAUGAGCAGCAUUUUCAAAAGAUCACUAACUCAUACAUGGGCUUUACCUCUCUAGAUGAAGUUGCACGAUGUCAAGGUCAUACGAGGACAGCUCUUCACCUGUAUGACCACCUUGAACUUUUCACAAUAGGACAUGAAGGUGUUUGUUUUGUUUUGUGGCUUGCAGUCCCCACAGCGUGUCACAGAGGAAGUGAUAUGGAACUAUUAUCAAAAGCAGCUUUUGUGUCCCAUCCGCAUGAGUGGGGAAUGAAGGGCUUUGCAGCGCAUUUCUUUUUUUUUUUUUGUUUGUUUGUUUUUAAAUGACUAUAAAUCAUGCUGCUAUAAAGACACAUGCACACGUAUGUUUAUUGCGGCAUUAUUCACAAUAGCAAAGACUUGGAACCAACCCAAA